rnacentral:rRNA from 1 species
GGGGAAUAUUGCACAAUGGGCGAAAGCCUGAUGCAGCAACGCCGCGUGAGUGAUGAAGGCCUUCGGGUUGUAAAGCUCUGUCUUCUGGGACGAUAAUGACGGUACCAGAGGAGGAAGCCACGGCUAACUACGUGCCAGCAGCCGCGGUAAUACGUAGGUGGCAAGCGUUGUCCGGAUUUACUGGGCGUAAAGGAUGCGUAGGCGGAUACUUAAGUCAGAUGUGAAAAUCCCGGGCGUAACUUGGGAACUGCAUUUGAAACUGGGUAUCUAGAGUGCGGGAGAGGAAAGUGGAAUUCCUAGUGUAGCGGUGAAAUGCGUAGAGAUUAGGAAGAACACCAGUGGCGAAGGCGACUUUCUGGACCGUAACUGACGCUGAGGCAUGAAAGCGUGGGGAGCAAACA